rnacentral:ncRNA from 1 species
UUUAAAUAAUGAUUUCAAGGUUUUAAUUAUUUUAUGUAAUUAAAUUAAAAGGGAAAGCAGUGAAAAGCUGCUACAGCCCCCGCUACUGUAAUGGAGGACUUAAGCUCUAGUAAACCACUGAGAUUUAUAUCUUGGGAAGGUAGAACUUUAAGGAAGAUACCAAAGUCAGGAGACCUGCCUUGGAAAGAAUUACUAUU